rnacentral:pre_miRNA from 1 species
UUCCUACUCCCUCCGUCCCAAAAAUUUUGUCUUAGAUUUGUCUAGAUACGGGUGUAUCUAAUACUAAAAUGUGACUUGAUACAUUCGUACUUAGACAAAUCUAAGACAAGAAUUUUGGGACGGAGGGAGUAGUAC